CUGGAAGAUCUUCAUCGUCAAGAGCCUUCAAACAUCCUGUAGAAAAUCAAAAGAAGGUAUACAUCGGUGGCUUGAUAACUUCAUUUUGUGCGCUCUAAUUUUUCCUCCGUAUUCAAGACCAGCAAAGCAGUCUGAUGCUGCAACACACAACAUUCACGUGGUGCUUUAAACGCUUUGGAUGAGCUCCUUCCAAACCUCUCACUGAGUUGCCUUGGGCCAGCCUGCUGCCCCCAACUGGGUGCUGCAGAUCUGCCCUCACAGCUGCAAGCAUCCAAGGAAAAGAGGGAAAUGGAACCAAUCACCUGGCUGUUCCAGGAUGCCAUCAUCGGGUACCUAGCCUACCGGAAAAAUAGGCAGCGUUUUCCUUUUUCACACCAUCAGCAUUUGUCAUUUAACUGCUGUAUGACCUCAGGAAAAAUUUCUGAACCUCUCCAAGGCUCAAUUUUCUCAACUGGCAAAUGGAAAUAUGGUAGGUUGGUUGUAAGGGUUAAGUGAGGUCUUGUUGCUGGGAGGAAAACUGUCUUCCUCUAACUUGAGUACAGAUUAUCAGGAGAAAAGAUGAGAAGUUUAUUUACUUUCACAGGAGCCUGCAGAUCAAACGGCUCUCAGAACAG